GCCCCCAUCGUCUAGCGGCCUAGGACAUCGCCCUCUCACGGCGAAGGCACCGGUUCAAAUCCGGUUGGGGGUACCA
rnacentral:tRNA from 1 species